GGGGGAUUAGCUCAGUUGGGAGAGCACCUGCCUUGCACGCAGGGGGUCAAGAGUUCGAAUCUCUUAUUCUCCA
rnacentral:tRNA from 1 species